UACAUGGGGUGCAAACGUUGCUCGGAAUUAUUGGGCGUAAAGCGCGCGUAGGCGGUUACUUAAGUCGGAUGUGAAAGCCCUCGGCUUAACUGAGGAAGUGCACCCGAAACUGAGUAGCUAGAGUACGAAAGAGGGUCGCGGAAUUCCCGGUGUAGAGGUGAAAUUCGUAGAUAUUGGGAAGAACACCGAUGGCGAAGGCAGCCAUCUGGACCGACACUGACGCUGAGGCGCGAAAGCGUGGGGAGCAAACAGG
rnacentral:rRNA from 1 species